UAGCUCAGUCAGUAGAGCAUGAGGCUCUUAAUCUCAGGCUCAUGGGUUCGUGCCCCCAU
rnacentral:tRNA from 1 species